GACGAACGCUGGCGGCGUGCUUAACACAUGCAAGUCGAACGGAAAGGCCCUGCUUUUGUGGGGUGCUCGAGUGGCGAACGGGUGAGUAACACGUGAGUAACCUGCCCUUGACUUUGGGAUAACUUCAGGAAACUGGGGCUAAUACCGGAUAGGAGCUCCUGCUGCAUGGUGGGGGUUGGAAAGUUUCGGCGGUUGGGGAUGGACUCGCGGCUUAUCAGCUUGUUGGUGGGGUAGUGGCUUACCAAGGCUUUGACAGGUAGCCGGCCUGAGAGGGUGACCGGCCACAUGGGGACUGAGAUACGGCCCAGACGCCUACGGGAGGCAGCAGUGGGGAAUAUUGCACAAUGGGCGGAAGCCUGAUGCAGCAACGCCGCGUGCGGGAUGACGGCCUUGGGGUUGUAAACCGCUUUCGCCUGUGACGAAGCGUGAGUGACGGUAAUGGGUAAAGAAGCACCGGCUAACUACGUG
rnacentral:rRNA from 1 species